AACUUGGACUUUCGAAGCUGCACUUUCAUAUGGCUCUUUGAAGUUUUCCCUACUUAAAGCUAAUGUACUUGCACUUACUACUUGUUGUCUGGAGUUUGAACC